rnacentral:rRNA from 1 species
CCUACGGGUGGCAGCAGUAGGGAAUCUUCCACAAUGGACGAAAGUCUGAUGGAGCAACGCCGCGUGCGUGAAGAAGGGUUUCGGCUCGUAAAGCUCCGUUUGUAGUGAAGAAAGAUAGAGGUAGUAACUGGCUUUUAUUUGACGGUAAUUACUUAGAAAGUCUCGGCUAACUACGUGCCAGCAGAUGCGGUAAUACGUAGGUGGCAAGCGUUGUCCGGAUUUAUUUGGCGUAAACCGAGUGCAGGCGGUUCAAUAAGUCUGAUGUGAAAGCCCUCGGCUCACACGGGGAAUUGCAUCAGAAACUGUUGAGCUUGAGUGCAGAAGAGGAGAGUGGAACUCCAUGUGUAGCGGUGGAAUGCGUAGAUAUAUGGAAGAACACCAGUGGCGAAGGCGGCUCUCUGGUCUGCAACUGACGCUGAGGCUCGAAAGCAUGGGUAGCGAACAGGAUUAGAUACCCCAGUAGUC